UAUGCUAAUCUACUUUCUUGGCUAAAACUAAGGAUUUAACGAAAGUGAUUUCUAUAAUGGGUGGAUAAAAUAGGGCUUAUUCUUGCUUUUUUUUUUCUGUAGAUGAUACAACAAUGUUACUUCAGCUCUUUUAUGUUGUAUUUUCAUAAUAGAAGUUAAGAAACAAAUAUAUUUGCUUAGAGAUUCAUAAGGAAUUCAAUUUUUGCCUUAAAAUAACACUACAGGCAGAAGUGGGCUAGUCUGCAGUGCCCCUUUUCUAGUGACAUAUGGGAAUUACAGGCCCCAGGACAUUCUUCUCAAGCCUCAGUGAAACACUUCUCCCCGCAUCUAGUUGCAAAAAUAGAGUAAAAUAUUAAAUAACUGGAAUGAUGGUACCUGUUCGUUUCUGCUUCAAUUCAGUAACACUAUUGAAUCUCUUUCUUAUCCUCUGAAUUCUGCUCCAGCUUGAUUGACAUUCUUUUUAUUCCUGCAUCACGCUGUGCUCUGCUCUGCCUCAGAAUUUUAGCACAAGCUGUUCCCCCUGCCUGGAAUUUCUUUACCUAUUCAUUGAAUAGUUGAGUCCCUUCUCUCUCUUCAGGUCUUUCAUUAAAUGUUAGUUUCCUUAUUAAUGUGGAACACUCUGAAUUACUAGUUGUUGUCACAUUGUCAUUAGCUCUAUCAUCAAAUCUUUUUUUCUUGAUGACUCUUUACACUUGAUAUUUAUUUAUGUGUGUGUUAUUGUUGGUUAUUCUCCAUAUCUUCUUUCUAACCAGCCAGGGACCAGUACCCUAUUUGAUAUCUAGUUGUGAUUGAUAAAUAUUCAUACGUUUAAGGACUUGGAUUGCAUGAGACCUUUUUGUUUUGGGGUUGGGGAGAAGGCAGCAGUAUAGUUUUGAAGGAAGAAUCAAAUCAUUAAAAAUAAUAAUAAUAAAAGAUGUAGCCCCAAAUGCUGCAUACUGGCCGUGCCCAAGAAGUGUGAGGUUGAGCUCACAUUCCAAACCAUGUACACAUUAUAUUUAAUGUAAUAAAAAUUGACCCCUAUGAUAAUAAACAAGACAUACAAACAUAAUAUAUUUAGAAAAAGAGAUGAAUUAUAAUAGUAUACCAUUGCAGCCUCACCUCCUAUGCUUCAUGCUACUCUAUCACAUUACAGUAAUAUUUAUUUUCCCUAUCAUGAAGUAUUUGAUGCAUAGUAGAUGCUCAGCAUGUAUUUCCUGACUGUAUGUAUUUAAUAAGUAAAUUCUAGAAUUUUAAGCUGGGACACAAGCAAGUUUCAGAAAAAAUUUCUAACCGUAAGGAUUGAAGCAAAAAAUUAUUUCUGAUUACCUUAAUCAGUUGGAAAAUGCAUUUCACUAUUUUAGUCUCAAAAUAUAUUGAAAUAAAAGUACUAGUGCGAUCUUCAGUUUUGUCUUAGUUUUGAUAGGUGCAAAUAAAGUACAUUUAAAGCACAAAAUGUGAUGCAAUGUCAUCAGAAGAAAAUUUUCUCUGUGGUUCAAUAUCAGGAGUAUUGAGAGUUAACUAUUGAGUCCAAUUGAAUUCAGUUUAAAACCCAGUUCUGGCAAUGACAGUUGGGUCCCUAGGCAACUCUUAGAGAUUCUAAGCCAGAAAUUAUUCACUUUCAAAAGGUUUAAUACCACACUGGUUAUUCUGAUUAUCUAGAAAUGGCUUCAAAAUUUCUUCCUGGAUGGCUCCCUAGAAUCUUAAGGCUAGUGAUGCUGGGAGUAUUGUCAAGAUUUACACACCACAGAAGUAUGGCAGUUUAAUGAAAGAAUCAAUGGAUAGCACUUUUGUGGCAAAUAGUUGCUAACUUUAAAACUAAUAUUUUAUUAAAAUGGUACUGAAAUAACAUCAUAGCAAGAACUAAUUCAUGUUAAAAAUUUUAAUUUCCAAGUGAAUCAAUAAAUAACUGCAUAUUGUGAUCAUUUCCUAAAGAUUUGGUACCACACUUAUGCUAUUCCCAGGAAACAAAAGAUAGAUGCCAUUUGUGUGCAUAAUAAUAAUAACUCACAUGAAAGGAUUUUGAAGAUUGCAGUAAAGAGUAUGUUUUCUUUUUCUUUUUCUUUUCCUUUUUCUUUUUCUUUGUGUGUGUGUGUGUGUCUUUUUAGGGCUGAACUCUCAGUCUAUGGAAGUUCCCAGGAUAGGGGUUGAAUCGGUGCUGUAGCUCCUGGCUUAUGCCACAGCCACGUCUGUGACUCACACCACAGCUCAUGGCAACCAAGGCCGGAUCCUUAACCCACUGAGCAAGGCCGUGGAUCGAACCUGGGUCCUCAAGGAUACUAGUUGGGUUCCCUUCCACUGAGCCAUGAUGGGAACUCUCAGUAAAGGAUUUCUAUUCCCCAAACUAUUGUUGUCACUGACUGCCAUGACUCUAAUCCCCUAAUUUUACCAUGAGAAACCAAUGCAGUUUUGUUCUUAAAUGCAAAUUAAGGAGUCAUAGGCGGAACCAUAUGAAGAAACUACUAUUCUAUGUCAGAAACAAAUACAGACUAUUCAAUGUGGCUCAGCUUUCAUAUUUAAUCCAUAAUCAGGUAUUAACCUUUGAUGUGAAAGCAUUUAUUAGAUUAUCUACCUGGCAGGAAAUGAAAGAGCAGUUUGCCAGGAUGGGGGGAUGAAGAGACGGAAAAAGGAGUUUUUAAAAGUUCCAGACUCAGGUAAUGGGACUCUUUUAUAAUGGCAACAUGAUGUAAUCACUAAACAAACAGAAACAAAAUGGAAUUACUUGGUUUGGGAUGAGUUACAAAGAGGAACAAUAGCAAGUUAAGACAUUUUAAAGAAGAAAAUCAAGAAAACAUAUUCAUAGGUUCAUCAUGUUUGUAGUGUUUAGAUCUUAGCCAAAGAUAUUACUCACCACAAUCUGAUGAAUUUAUUUUCAAAGACUCUGUCAGAUAAAAAGUGCUAAGGAAAACAUUAUGAUUUCUUUAGCACUAUUGUAUAUGCACAAAGCUGGUACUUCACAUACCCACAUACACACAUGCACAAAUAACUUCACAAACCUGAUUCAGAAAGAACUAGUACAUUUUGCCUGUUGAAGCUUACUAAAACCAGCAAGAUGUAGUUGAUAUUAAUGAUUCAUAUUUUCUUUCACAAAAAGAAAAAUAAAGUUAAGUACAUUGAAGGUUGGAUGUCUUUUUCCUCCACUUAAUUCCUCAGGGCUGCCCCAUUUUUUUUUUUCUAUUAUUAAAAAAAAAAUGCAGUUCUUCCUCAAUAUACAUUUAAAACAUGGGUGAAAGUACUACUGGAUUAAUCCUAAUAACAAAAUUUGAGUUAAACUAAGCUCUAAAUAGCCUUCCUCAGUUUAGUAAAACAAGUUUUGAUCUUAUUUCAAUUCAGUACAUGAUAUCUUUUGGAAAAAAAAAAUUUUUUUAAUGCUUGCAAUGUUUUAUUUUGCCUGCCAGAAUUACCGGUAUGACUCGCCUUCAUUCUAUCCAGCCACAAAUCCUUCUGUCCUAGUAAUGCUAAAUUUGAAGGCUAGAGGGUACAUACAUCUGCCCUGGGCAAAUGCAGUCAGUAUUUCUUCCACAAAUACAGAUUCCCAUGACAACCAAACAGAAAGGGGGAAAAAAUGAGAAGCCAAGGAUAUUAAAUUUCUCUUAGACCCACCACCUGAUUCCCAUUUGACCCACUCUCUGGGUCUUAUUAAGCCCAUCCUGAUCCCUUUUAUUCCCAUAGCCAUUUACAAGCUGGGCAUAUGGAAUCCUAAGGUUUCUUACUUUUCCAUGUUACUGAACAGCAAUCUUAGCAAGGUAAGAGAAUAUUUGUGAAGCCAUUUUAUUUCCAUCUUUUUUAGGUUGUUGUGUUCUUCUGCAAAGGCUAUCAGCUCCCACUGUAUGAGGACACCUGUCCACCAGAACAAGCCUGAGAUUACUAAUUCAUUUCACAUGAUUCACCAAACUGAUAUCAAAUAGCAGUAGCUCUUAUUUAUUACCAGCUUAGAUCAGAUUCAAACUGGAGGCUCAAAGCUAAAAGGCUUAACCUUCAACCCCUUCACCCUGGGUCACUCCCAAUCUGUCUCUGGGGCACUUUUAAUUAAUGGCAGAGUGGAAAGGAUUAUAAAUUCCAGAGCUCCCAUAUACCAUCCCCAAUGGAUGUCCAACUCACUGACAGCUAAGAAGGCUUUCCAUUAACAUGUAUUUGUUCAUGUGAUUGUAUCUGCACAAGCCAAAUUAAGUGGAGACAUGAGGAGGCAAUUAUCUUGAAAAUUCAGGCUAAAAUAGAAAUACUUCAACUGAGGUUUGGGAAUUUACCUUUUUGAGAUUAGAGAAAUGUGCCAGAUGAUGUCUUUGCAUUAAAUUUAACUUUGAAUGUGCUGGUGCCAAUUGGCAAAGAAAAGUGGGAAGUACAGGUGAUUGUCCAGAACGUUAAAAGCCAAACAUCCAAUAGUGAGAGAAGAAAAUAGAAGAAAGCCGUAAGCCACCAGAUUUAUCUAAUUCAGCAAUUAGCCAAAAAUCUAAUGCUGCCUUAUGGUGUAAAUACAGUUAGGACUAUUACAGAGGGGGAAAACAGAAUCCCCAGACAUUAACUUUGCAAGUAUUCUAUAUAUUUGUUCUCUAGUAGAAUACUCCAAGGCUAAAGAAAGUUCUAGUGCAACCUAAUGCCUUUUCUGAAUCAUGUACUUCUUUUGGCCAUAUCCAUGAGACUUAAAGCUUUGUUUUAAAUUGAUGACAUGUGGUAUUUAGAAUCGUAUAGAUAUAUAGAACACAGUGAAAAUCCUUUCCUGAAACUACUUCUGAAAAUAGUUACCUGAGUUAGGUAACUACUACCUGAAAAUAGUUACCUGAGUUAUUAAUACAAGCAUCAACCAUAUAGCUAAUUCUGCCUCAUGCUAGAUUCGUUCACAUAUUUCAUCCUCACAGCAAUCAUAUGAGGGCAGUUUUAUUAUAUCUGUUGUAUAGAUAAAAACUGAGGCUUGUUUAUAAGAAUAUUAAUUCUUUACUACAUAUCUAUCUAUCUACCUACCUAUCAUCUAUUAUCUAACUAUCUAUGUAUCUAUGGCUUAACCACCUAUAAUAGGUUGAAUUUUGCCUCCUCCCAAAAAAAGAUAUUCUGAAAUACUAAUCCUCAGCACAUGUGAAUGCCACUUUAUUUGAAAAUAUGGUCUUUGCAGGUUUAAUCAAGUUUGGAUGCUGUCUUUGGAAUGGGCCUUAAUCCAAUGUAAUUGAUGUCCUUAUAAGAAGAGGAAAAUUUGGGGCAUUCCCAUUGUGGCUCAGUAGUAAAGAACCCAACUAGUAUCUGUGAGGAUGCUGGUUCAACCCCUGGCCUCCCUCAGUGGGUUAAGGACCAGAGUUGCCAUGAGCUGUGGUGUAGGUCACAGACACGGCAGAAUUGCAUUUUGCUGUGGCUGUGGCAUAGGCCGGCAGUUGUAUCUCUGAUUUAGCCCCUAGCCUGGGAACUUCCAUAUGCCACAAGUGAGGCCCU
rnacentral:lncRNA from 1 species